CAGAACAGAGCACCAUCCUCGCUGCCAAACAUUCUCCACUGCAGAAAUGGCUCCCAGCUUAUAGCUAGGCCUGCUAAAGACUGAGCACCUGAACACGGCCCAUCCUGGGGCUGUGUGUGGCCUGAGCUGCCAUUUUCAAUGAGAUGUGGAUUCGAUCCAGAAUGUGGCUUCUGCUGUCACAUCUCCUCAGUCUCUCUACCCCAUUUGCUUCUCAUGACCUUGACAAUGAAGAGCGAUCAUCAUAAAUUUUGAAAGACAUCCCUCA